rnacentral:lncRNA from 1 species
UUUCUGAGCAACUGCAACAGAAAAUGGAAAAGGAGAAUCUCCAUGUCCGAUACGUUGAACAAACGCACACUAAAUUGGAGCACUCUGCAUGUACAAGUGAAUUAAGAAAGUUUUCCAAGGGUUCAACUCCUGCACCAGUUAACUCUGAGGAACAUGAAAUUCUAGUAGCCGACACUUGUGAUCAGAGUCAUUCUCCACUGUCUAAAAUAUGUGGAACAAGCAGUUACCCCGCUGACAAGUUAUCUUCUAACUUAGAUGCUGUUGUUGCUGAGACGCUUGGACUUGAUGGUCAAGAAGAAUCUG